CCCUGCCCCUCUCCCUUCCUUCCUCUUUCCUUUUUCCUUCCACAGUAGCCAUCAUAAUGGGUGUGAAGUAGCAUCUGGUUUUAAUUUGCAUUUCUCUUCUGAUUAGUGAUAUCUAUCUAUUCAUAUGCUUCUUUAUAAAAUUUUUAAUUUUUAUUAGUACGUUUGCAGUACAUAAUGAUUACAUUCAUCAUGGGAAGUUGGUACAUGUAUGUAACACAUUUUAAUUCUUCAUUCUUUUUAUGUCCCCUUCCCCCCACACCCUUUCCUUCAUCUCUCGGUCCCCUUCCCAUUUGUAAAAGAGCUAUGUCCCUGUUUCCUAUCUCAUAUACUUCUUGGCCAUUUGUGUAUCAUUUUUGGAAGGCUGAAAUCUUUUGGUCAUUUUCAAAUCAAGUUAUUAAAUUAUUUGCUGUUGUACUUUUUUAUAUAUCCUACAUAUCACUUGCAUAUAAAAAUUUCUUUCCAUUCUAUAGCUUGCUUUUUGACAGUAUAUUUAGUAAUUUCAAACUAUACUUCUACAUGGUAUUGGUUUAUUCAUUUAUUUUUGAGAUAGAGUCUCACUCUAUAGUUCAGGCUGGCUGUGAACUCAUUAUGUAACCCAGGCUGACCUUGAACUCAUGACAAUCCUGCCUCAACCUCCCAAGUGCUAGGAUUACAGGUGUAUGCCACCUUGUGGGACUGUUUGUUUUCCUGAAAUAAGGUUUUACUAUGUUGCCUAGGCUGAUCUCAAACUCUUGAUCUCAAGUGAUCUUGCCUCUGGCUCUCCAGUAGGAGGGACUAAAGAUGUGCACCACUAUGACCAGCUAAAAUACUAUUUUAUAUAAAUUUAUUCUAAUAUCUGAUAUCUUUUCCUACUUCCAUGCCUAAAUAUAGGCCAAGAUUCUUUCUAUUGCAAGUCAAAUUCAAACUACUUUAAGAAAAACUAGCCAAAUGCAAGCCUGUAAUCCCAGCACUCUGGAGGCUGAGGCAGGAGGACUGUCGAAAGUUCAAGGCCAUCCAGGACUACAGGGCAAGACAUAGUCUCAAAAAACCCCAAACAAAUAAACAA
ensembl:lncRNA